rnacentral:rRNA from 1 species
GUGCCAGCAGCCGCGGUAAUACGGAGGGGGCAAGCGUUGUUCGGAAUUACUGGGCGUAAAGCGCACGUAGGCGGCUAACCAAGUUGGGGGUGAAAGCCCAGGGCUUAACCCUGGAACUGCCUUCAAGACUGGUUGGCUAGAGGCCGAGAGAGGUAAGGGGAAUUCCUAGUGUAGAGGUGAAAUUCGUAGAUAUUAGGAAGAACACCGGUGGCGAAGGCGCCUUACUGGCUCGGAACUGACGCUGAGGUGCGAAAGCGUGGGGAUCAAACAGGAUUAGAUACCCUGGUAGUCCACGCUGUAAACGAUGGGUGCUAGAUGUUGGGAUCCUCAGGGUCUCGGUGUCGCAGCUAACGCGUUAAGCACCCCGCCUGGGGAGUACGGCCGCAAGGUUAAA